ACCUGCCCUUUGAGACAAGGUUCUCUCUGAGAUCUGGAUAGACCUCCACUCUGCUGCUGUUGUUUAGAAGAACUUCAACACCUGGCUUUUUACCCAGGCCUAUGGCAAGAAAGAACGGAAUUGCAAAAAAUGAAAGCUCUAAAUUCUCAGCCCUGGUAUUCAGUGAAUAUCCGCCCAUCUCAACAUGUGACUCUGGUUAGCUUUAUCAUUCAUAAAAUCACAGAACUGUGGAGUUGGAAGAGACCACAAGAUUCAGGUAAUCCAACCUCCUUCAGUGUGCAAGAAAACCAGUUAAACUGUUAGCAAGAGGUGGCUGACCAGCCUCUUCUUAAAAUCUUCUAGAAAUAGAGAAUCCAUAAGAGGCAGAAUGGAAGUGGCUUGAGUCAGUUCCUUUGUCUUACGGCUGAGAGAAGUGACUGACCCAACACCACACAGGUAGGCUUGGGCCUAAGGGAGGACUAGAACUCACAGUUUACUGAUUUCUAGUCUAACAUUAUAACAACUUUACCAAUUAUGAAACAGGGUGUUAAAAAUGUUCCAUUAUAUAUGUCAAAUGCCAUUGUUCUGAC